rnacentral:rRNA from 1 species
GUCGACGCCUGGGGAGUACGGCCGCAAGGUUAAAACUCAAAUGAAUUGACGGGGGCCCGCACAAGCGGUGGAGCAUGUGGUUUAAUUCGAUGCAACGCGAAGAACCUUACCUGGUCUUGACAUCCACAGAACUUUCCAGAGAUGGAUUGGUGCCUUCGGGAACUGUGAGACAGGUGCUGCAUGGCUGUCGUCAGCUCGUGUUGUGAAAUGUUGGGUUAAGUCCCGCAACGAGCGCAACCCUUAUCCUUUGUUGCCAGCGGUCCGGCCGGGAACUCAAAGGAGACUGCCAGU